UACGUAGGGUGCAAGCGUUGUCCGGAAUUAUUGGGCGUAAAAGAGCUCGUAGGCGGUUUGUCGCGUCUGCUGUGAAAACCCGAGGCUCAACCUCGGGCCUGCAGUGGGGUACGGGCAGACUAGAGUGCGGGUAGGGGGAGAUUGGAAUUCCUGGUGUAGCGGUGGAAUGCGCAGAUAUCAGGAGGAACACCAAUGGCGAAGGCAGAUCUCUGG
rnacentral:rRNA from 1 species